UAUAUUACAGGUGGUAGGUGGACACCCAUUUUACAAAGUAGUUUCAUAUUCAUUUUAAUAUGCAUUGGGAAAUGUAUAUGCAUGUGUGCAUGCAUGCAUGUAAGGAGUCCUUCAGUUUGUGAUUCACAAGUCUAACUGCUCGGGAUGAAAUGAGAGUCAGUUCCGAAACUAGUGAGUCGAGGUCCAAUACUUGAGGCAACAGAGAUAAGGCCAAGAUCAGGCAGGGGGCUAAGAGACGACUUAGAAAACUGGUUUUGAUUCUCAAAAUUGCCCCGCCCAGAUAGUUUAUCUGCCACUGCUGAGCCCGGCAGCAAGUGGAGAUACUAUUUCCUUCUGUAGGUUGGCGCCACAGAGCCUGAGCUGCACAAGAAGCAACAUCCCAGCGUUGGGGAUAUUGUAUGGUCAGGCCACUCAAGAUGGCUGUUCUCCUGCUCUCUGUGCUUGCUCCCUGCCCGACCAGGCCCUGCUUCACUCACAUGACAAUCCACUUCUCUUAGUUAUAGGGCUUAAUUAGUCCCUGGUGGGGGAUGAUCCCACUUGACGGCAAUCCCCCCUAUAAAUGGUAGCUUGCUCCUCCCCCAAGGAGCGAGGAGUGCCGUCAUGUUCUGCCUGUCAUCCGCCAGCCACAGGCUCCAGGCCCCUUCAUCUCAGCCGUCCAAAUAGCACUUCUUCAGCUUGCAUCAUCACCUCUGUCAUCUGGCCUGUGACAUGGAGGCCCCGUUUUGACCUGGAGACACCCAGAAACUGUUUCCAAAAGGAACUGUUGCUCAUGGCGCGGUGGCUGGUGUCCACAGCUGUUCCGCAUCUACACUCACAGGGCCAACGCGAGGUCUUCAGCUUCUGUUCCAAUACAGGAAGCCCUUAGAUGGCUCUGGCAGAGACCACUGUGCUCUCAGAUAUUAGUCUUAUAUAACAGGGCCUUCCAGGGCUCAGCCCAGCGCAGGGGGUCAGAGACCUGCUGUGCUCAGGGCAGCUCGCUGGGGUCCCGGGAUGGGGGUGAGGGGGAGGUGGGAAGGCGGGUCUCCCCCGCAUCAGCACACACCGUCCUGAGUCCCUCCAGCCCCCUCCCUACGUGCUUGCGUUGUCCCUUCCAGCUCUCACUCCGCUGCUCUGUCCUCCCCCAAGCCCCUUUUUAUCUAAUCUCAGGAGGAGGGAAAUCUGGCUCUGGGCACACAGUGCAUCCUCACAUUCUAGGUCAGCAGUUUCUGGGAACCUGUGUUUCUGCCUCCGCCUGGACCAGCAGAGGGGACGUGGUCCCCACAGGAUGCCACAGAGGGAGGGAAGAGGGCUCGCAGAAAACCAGGUUAUUCCAGAGACACAGCAGUGCCAGGAGGAAGCCCUACUGGCCCCCAUCUUCCCAAUCUUCUGGUUCAUUCCUUACCCACAACUCCAAGAACUGGUGAUUGCUAACCCCACCCCUCACUGUGACAAAGCUCAGUCCCGAAGGGAUAAGACUCCUUGUCACU